UGAUAGGUUAGUUUAAUACACUGCUCUGAUAGGAUAGUCUGAUAGGUUAGUUUAAUACGCUGCUCUGAUAGGAUAGUCUGAUAGGUUAGUUUAAUACACUGCUCUGAUAGGAUAGUCUGAUAGGUUAGUUUAAUACACUGCUCUGAUAGGAUAGUCUGAUAGGUUAGUUUAAUACACUGCUCUGAUAGGAUAGUCUGAUAGGAUAGUUUAAUACACUGCUCUGAUAGGAUAGUCUGAUAGGUUAGUUUAAUACACUGCUCUGAUAGGAUAGUCUGAUAGGAUAGUUUUAUACACUGCUCUGAUAGGAUAGUCUGAUAGGAUAGUCUGAUAGGAUAUUUUAUACACUGCUCUGAUAGGAUAGUCUGAUAGGAUAGUUUUAUACACUGCUCUGAUAGGAUAGUUUAAUACACUGCUCUGAUAGGGUAGUUUAAUACACUGCUCUGAUAGGGUAGUUUAAUACACUGCUCUGAUAGGGUAGUUUAAUACACUGCUCUGAUAGGAUAGUUUAAUACACUGCUCUGAUAGGAUAGUUUUAUACACUGCUCUGAUAGGAUAGUUUUAUACACUGCUCUGAUAGGAUAGUUUUAUACACUGCUCUGAUAGGAUAGUUUUAUACACUGCUCUGAUAGGAUAGUUUUAUACACUGCUCUGAUAGGAUAGUUUUAUACACUGCUCUGAUAGGAUAGUUUUAUACACUGCUCUGAUAGGAUAGUUUUAUACACUGCGCUGAAGACUGACGCCAUUGGAGAUCCACUAAGUAGAAAAAAAAGUAGGGGUCAAAUCUGAAGCCCUAUUCUCUAUGUAGUGCACUAAGGUGAAGGUAGGGGUCAAAUCUGAAGCCCUAUUCUCUAUGUAGUGCACUAAGCGGAUAGUAGGGGUCAAAUCUGAAGCCCUAUUCUCUAUGUAGUGCACUAAGGGGAUAGUAGGGGUCAAAUCUGAAGCCCUAUUCUCUAUGUAGUGCACUAAGGGGAUAGUAGGGGUCAAAUCUGAAGCCCUAUUCUCUAUGUAGUGCACUAAGGGGAAGGUAGGGGUCAAAUCUGAAGCCCUAUUCUCUAUGUAGUGCACAAAUCUGAAGCCCUAUUCUCUAUGUAGUGCACUAAGGGGAUAGUAGGGGUCAAAUCUGAAGCCCUAUUCUCUAUGUAGUGCACUAAGGGGAAGGUAGGGGUCAAAUCUGAAGCCCUAUUCUCUAUGUAGUGCACAAAUCUGAAGCCCUAUUCUCUAUGUAGUGCACUAAGGGGAUAGUAGGGGCACUAUGAAGGGAAUAGGUGGGAAACACCGGUAGGAUCAUUUGUACCAAUGUAAAAGCACAUUGACGAUCCAUAUUCCUUUAAUUAUGAAUGAGGUGAUACUUUAUAGAUUAAUCCCAGACUGCUCUCUGUUUUCUUCACAGAUGCAGACCUUUGAGGGAAAACUUUUAUACUUUGGGUUUUUGGAAUAAUAAAAUGAAAAUAAAUAAAUAAACAUGUUUUGAACAUCUUGUGGUGAA